CAGGGUGAGAUCUAAAACCUGCAGGACACCGGCCCUCGAGGCCUGGAGUUGGGGACCCCUGGUCUGAUGCAUGAAUGACAUAUCAUCGCUCUUCACAGACAUUCUCCUCUCUGCCACACCCUGCACCCACAAUGAUGGUCUUAACGUCCACAAUUAACUUCAAGUCACCGCCCAGUCUGGCUGAAGGCUCCUGGUAUUCAUGUGGAUGUCUUUUUGACACAUGCCACCCACCUAAACACUGCAAAGUAAGCACCCCACACCAUGGAA